rnacentral:rRNA from 1 species
UACGUAGGGAGCAAGCGUUGUCCGGAAUCAUUGGGCGUAAAGCGCGCGUAGGCGGCCUCAUAAGUCCGUUGUGAAAGUCAAAGGCUCAACCUUUGAAAGCCGAUGGAUACUGUGAGGCUAGAGUCCGGAAGAGGCGAGUGGAAUUCCUGGUGUAGCGGUGAAAUGCGCAGAUAUCAGGAGGAACACCAAUUGCGAAGGCAGCUCGCUGGGACGUUACUGACGCUGAGACGCGAAAGCGUGGGGAGCAAACAGG